rnacentral:tRNA from 1 species
CGCCGCCUGGGCGGGCGUCAGCCCGGCGAUGAACCCGCCGAGCGCGAGAACGCCGCCCGCGACGGCAAC